AGAGUUUGAUCAUGGCUCAGAACGAACGCUGGCGGCAGGCUUAACACAUGCAAGUCGAACGCAUCCUUCGGGGUGAGUGGCAGACGGGUGAGUAACGCGUGGGAACGUGCCCUUCAGUUCGGGAUAACCCAGGGAAACUUGGGCUAAUACCGGAUACGUGCGAGAGCAGAAAGAUUUAUCGCUGAAGGAUCGGCCCGCGUCUGAUUAGCUAGUUGGUGGGGUAAUGGCCCACCAAGGCGACGAUCAGUAGCUGGUCUGAGAGGAUGAUCAGCCACAUUGGGACUGAGACACGGCCCAAACUCCUACGGGAGGCAGCAGUGGGGAAUAUUUGACAAUGGGCGCAAGCCUGAUCCAGCCAUGCCGCGUGAGUGAUGAAGGCCCUAGGGUUGUAAAGCUCUUUUGUGCGGGAAGAUAAUGACGGUACCGCAAGAAUAAGCCCCGGCUAACUUCGUGCCAGCAGCCGCGGUA
rnacentral:rRNA from 1 species